CCUACGGGUGGCAGCAGUGGGGAAUAUUGGACAAUGGGCGAAAGCCUGAUCCAGCCAUGCCGCGUGUGUGAAGAAGGCCUUCGGGUUGUAAAGCACUUUCAGUGGGGAAGAAAGCCUUGGGGCUAAUACCCUCGAGGAAGGACAUCACCCACAGAAGAAGCACCGGCUAACUCCGUGCCAGCAGCCGCGGUAAUACGGAGGGUGCGAGCGUUAAUCGGAAUUACUGGGCGUAAAGCGCGCGUAGGCGGUCUGAUAAGCCGGUUGUGAAAGCCCCGGGCUCAACCUGGGAAUGGCAUCCGGAACUGUCAGGCUAGAGUGCAGGAGAGGAAGGUAGAAUUCCCGGUGUAGCGGUGAAAUGCGUAGAGAUCGGGAGGAAUACCAGUGGCGAAGGCGGCCUUCUGGACUGACACUGACGCUGAGGUGCGAAAGCGUGGGUAGCAAACAGGAUUAGAUACCCGGGUAGUC
rnacentral:rRNA from 1 species